CUUUUAUAGAAAAAGCAUAAUGGAAUAAAUGGUGUGCUAGAUUUGCCCUCCAAUUAUUUAAACUCAGUGUAAGCCUGAUUUAUGCAGCCAAAGCUGGCAGCGAUUGCAGUCUCUACCAAAAUACUCAUUACCGUAGGUGAAAGGAGAAAAAAGUAAUCUUUCUACAGAGGCUCUACCUAAGGGACUCUACAUCCCUGUUCCUGGGGAUGCCUUUUGCAGUGUUAAACAGAAUACCGGCAAUUAGUAUGGACCAUCUUACCUACCUACAGGUAAAUGAGAAGGUGAAGACGACCACACUUCACCAGAAUCCUCGCAUUACAAAAGAAUCACAGGGUCUUCUCAGGUGUUUGCCUAUAAAUCACUAAAUAGGGGAGGCUAAUGACAGAAAAAAAAAAUCCUACAGUACUGCUGAUUAAAUAUCAAUCAGUACAGAAGCAAAAUACAAAAACAAAAAUCAAUCAGGACUUAGAACAAAAGCAAAUAAAAAAUUAUUUUAAAAUGGAGAUAACCAACCUAAAAGCUUAAUAAUAAAAACAUUUUAAUAGUCAAUGUGGUGGCUCCUAACAGGCAGGCAGAGAAUACAGAAGGAAACAUGCAAUCUUAGCUGUGCCAAGGUUUGUGAACCCAAACCUAUCACAGAAUUCGUAGGAGUUGAAGAAAUGUGAUGGAAAUGGAGAUUUAUUUUUAUUAAGAGACAGGGUCUCGCUCUGUUGCCAAGGCUGGUUUUGAACUCC
rnacentral:lncRNA from 10 species